UAUUUUUUUUCUUUUUUGAGUGGGCCCUAACCCAUAGGUCUUUUCCCAGGAUCUUACCUAACUCUUCUAAUUCUUUCCGGAGUUUUUCUCAAAUUAAUUUCAAAGUUUGAUGUAAGAAUGAGUUAUCAUCAGUCAAAUGUCUUUCUCCAAGAUCUUUCAAACAUUUUCAUCGUUGGUUCAACAUUUCUAUUCUUCAUUCUGGAGUGCCUCAAAAAUUCAUGGUGUUUCUCAUCGUCAUUCUCGGAUUUUGAAGACCGAAGAAGAGUUCCUCUUAAAUCCUUACCCGUUCUUCCAAAGAUUCAUGGUUCUAGCUUCGUGCCAUCCUCUCAUCAUUGUUUUCGAUUGUGAGAAUUCUUUUCAUAACCAUCCGGAGCAUUUCAUGAGUUGUUUCCACUUCUUUCCUCCGAAGGCCAUCAUGUCAUAAUUCCUCAUUCUCAGCUUUCAGCUCUCGUUCUCCAAAUCUUACCGGUGCAUCAUUCAAGUAUUCUCUAGUCAGUUCAUGAUCUCUUCGUUUCACUUGUAUCUAAAUUCUCUCAAGUAUAUUCGUUCAUUUUCCAAUUCCUCCUGGCGAUGCAUUCAUUUUCUUUGCUCGUUCUUUUAAUCCUUACGGUGGUUCGUCCAACAUUCCUCUUCCGUCGUUAUCGUUUCAAUGCAUUCGUGCUUUCCAAAUCCUACCGGUGGUUCGUUGAAGACCUUCUCAAGUUAUCGAUAUAUCUCUCUUAAUCCUUUCUACAGGCAUAAGUAGUAUGCCAAAUCCUUUGCUUGUCGUCAAUUUAAAUUGGUGAAGGAUGAGCAUAACAUAAUUCUUAUUCUUGCUUCAUCCAAGUGAUUAAUUCCUUCUUCCGGAGUUCGUAAUGUUAUCAAUUUCCCAGUUCUAAGUUGUUCAUCUCUUCUUUCCGGAGUUUGUUCAUCAUAUCACAUUCUCGGUUCGAGAUGCUUCAUCUUUUCUAUUCUGGAGUUCAAAGUUUUCUCAUUAUGUCGUCCUGAAGCUUCAUCUAAAUCAUUGCAAGGCUUCAAUCUUAUUAUUUUCAUCCUUCUCUUUCUUUUUAUCAUCCUUUCAUUACCGGAGUUCUUCAUGGAGGCUCUACAUGGCGGUUCAUCAAGGAUUUAAUUCAUUCUUGAAGUGUUCUUCAAGAUUCUUGUUGGAGGAGUUCAAGUAUUCUUCAUCUUGCAUUCCAAAGUGCAAUUCUUUCUACCUUAUCUUUUGAGAUGUUGUUAUAUCAUUCUUGACAAUUUCCAUUCAUGUUUCGCGAUUCACAUGUUGUCAAGAAUGAGAUAUUUAAACCCAUCGUUUCUUCAUUGGAGUUAUCUUGGGUUAUAUUUCACCUAAAGCCCUUCCCUAAGGAAUGUUGCUAUUGUGGUGGUCAUCAAUGAUCCAAAUUUCUCCUUCUCAUCUUGGUGAAGAAGUUUUCAUCUCGUCAUUGAUCUCAAUCAAUCUUUGUUUUCAUUGGUGGCAGAAUUAGCCUCAAUUUAUUGAGAUGGUUACAUAAGCCCACGGGAAUCAUAUCUUUGUUGCUGACUUUCCAACAACUCCGUUCAAGCCUUUCUCCUAAAGAUGCUCUUUCAAUUUUAGUUGGGAGAGUUGUCAUUUUUCUUCUCCGUUCUUUUCUUUCCGUCGAUCUAGCUUCUAUUUGUUCGUUCCGGAGGCAUUGUGAUGUUGCUCUCUUCGACCAAUUAUCUCGUUUUCUCAAUAUCAUGUUCUUUUCCUUGCUUACCCAUUUAACCGGAGUGUUGCGUCCUAUUUUCAAGCUCUUUCCAUCUUAUCAAUUUCCUUCCAUUUUCAACUGGAGUGCUGCCCAAAUUCUUUCGCUUUUACUCUUUGUCUAUUUCGUUCUAACCGGAGUGGUUUCAAAAUCUAUCUUGUCCCUUGAGCUAUUGGUUCUCAUUGUUUUGCUUGCUCCUCUUCUUAAUGGGAUGUUUUCAACCUCGUUCAUCUCCGUUGUGUUCUUUCUUUCAACUUUUCAACCUCAGGUUCGUGGUUUCACUCUUUUGUCAAGUAACAACUUUGUUUUACCUCUUCCUCUUCCGUUUCUCUCCGGUGCCAUCCCUAGAUCUCGGGACGAGAUCUCUUGUAAGUGGAGGAGUGUUGUGACGCCCCGAGACCGACGCUCCAGACGCCUUCCAUGUUUUUCGUUAUCGUCGCGUGUAUUUAUUUGUUUGUUGCAUUCAUCAUCGCAUUGCAUCCGCAUGUUUUCAUAAAACUUGUAGUUGCUCGUAGUUGCCGCGUUCCCCUUGCCUUCGUUGACCGUUCCGGGACCAACCAGAUUUUGUUUCCCUCUUGUCUUGAUCUCGCGGGUGUGAGAUUGCUGAGUCCUCGUGACUCACCAGAUACUUCCAAACAGUUGCAGGUACCGAUGAUACCAGUGCAGGCGAGGCUACCCAGCUCAAGUGAGAGCUCAAUGAAGAACUUGGUCGUUAAUAUGUUUCGUUUCCUGAUGAUCAGUAGUGGAGCCCAGUUGGGACGAUCGGGGAUCUAGCAUUUGGGGUUGUCUUCUUUUAUUUUGGUUCCGUAGUCAGACCUUGAUUGUACUCUGAAUGAUGUAUGUUUAAUUUAUGUAUUGUGUGAAGUGGCGACUGUAAGCCAACUCUUUAUCCCAUUCUUGUUCAUUACAUGGGAUUGUGUGAAGAUGACCCUUCUUGCGACAAAACCACCAUGCGGUUAUGCCUCCAAGUCGUGCCUCGACACGUGGGAGAUAUAGCCGCAUCGUGGGUAUUACAGAAAACUAGCCACCACCAAAUCACCUACGUCGGCAAUGUGGCCCCAGCCACCCCCACCCCACCCACCACUGCUCAUCGCCGUCCCGUCUUCAUUGGCUCUAGUUUGAGCCGCCUUCAUGUUUCCCUCUCUUACUCUCGCGACAUGUUGAUCUUUGGAAGAAGCAUAAUGGAGAAACACCCGCGAGAGUCUCCCAUUGCCACGUUGAUUUUUGUCCGCUUACGCGAGCUCUUGACCUCUGCAUGACCUUCUCUUGCAUUUCUUGGCCCCAAUGAUAUUGUCUUCCUUUUUAUUUAAAUAUGUUCCAUUGAUAGACUAUUGUCAUUAUGAAACCCAACACUGUCAGUUACUUACCAUUCAUUUAUCAUUCCCAAAUCUUAUUUUUCAAUUAAAAUCAACUAGCUCCACAGAGCAUGCCCGUACCUUGUUGAGCUCUGGCUCCAUGCUUGGGUAGGAUUUAGGUCGAUCCCAUUUAUACCAAUCCCUUUCUCUCUCGUUGUGUGGCUUGAUUUCUAGGUUGUAAAAAAUCUGCCCUUUGGGCUUUUUUAUGUGAGAAGCUCCACGGGAAACUUGUAAGGAAUAGCAUUCUCCAAAAUUAGUUCCUUUGAACCAAAGAGGGCACCAGUGUUUGUAACUGAAAUGUGAACAACAGUGGAAAGUGGAUAAUCUCAAUUCUUGAUUCAUGCUGGAAUAAGGGGCUUCCCAGGUUGUCUGCAAAUGGUGGCCGUCGGAUCGUUCUGCUGGGCGGCCACAAUCGAAGCGGUGCCACCGCUUGUAGUUUUGUCCAGCCGGAGGGGUAUUUCCGUCUGUUCCAGCCAGCCUAUAUAGACACAUUCAUAGCCGGGUUAACUUUCCCCCACGCGGUGAAACCCCUAGCCGCCACACCCCACGCUCGCACCUCCUCUUCUCCCUGCUUCCGCCUCCAUCGAUCCGCUCUUGCGCUGUAGGCAACAGGUCUCACCUCUCCAUCGCCGGCAAGGUCCAACUCCUAUGCGCCUCCCUCCUUUCCCAUCCCCACGAGAUCACCAGCGCCCCUUCCAUUGUGCUUGAGUCGUGGAGGGUCAGCCGCGGUGGUGGACAAGGAGAUCCAUGGUCAACCGUCGAUGACCGUUUCCUCUUCCUGCCACAGCCGCCUUCGGCGCCCCUUCUCCUCCUUGCCCCCAAGCUCAUGCUGUGUGGAUGCUCACCCUGGAGACGCGCCCCUUCUCUUAUGCCGUUAAUGGCACGACAGAGUGGCGGGACAACCGCGCCAAGAUGGGUUGCACACAGGAGUGAGAGGCGGUGCGGGGUGGUCGUGGCCAACCGCGCGCUACCAGUGCCGCAACAGGAUGGGCUCCGCGCAGGAGGGAGCGGUGGGUUAAGGUGUUUGUGGCUUUCUAGCCGCCAUCAACAGCUGCAGCUCCAGCGCUUCCUCUGCUUUUUGAUGGUGCCACAAGAGGGGACGACGUUUCUGUGGCUGCCGUCAUAAGCCGCCAUCUGCAACCACAGCUCCAUCGGGUAAUAUUUUGAUUCUUUAUUUUCUUGGCCCGUGAGAACAUGGGAGACCAUAGAGGAAGGAGACUGAUGGAUUGUGGUGACAGUGGGCUUGUUUGGCCCUAGCCAUGGCGGCGCCUGCUACUUCUUGAGCUUGUGUUGGUUUUUCCCUUGAAGAGAAAAGGGUGAGCGGCAAAGUAGAGAUAAGUAUUUCCCUCAGCUUGAGAACCAAGGUAUCAAUCCAGUAGGAGACAACGCACAAAUCACCUAAUACCUGCACAAACAAUCAAACAACUUGCACCCAACGCGAUAAAGGGGUUGUCAAUCCCUUCACGGUUAGUUGCAAAAGUGAGAUCUGAUAGAGAUAGAUGAAACUAAACAAACGAUAAAGUAAAUAUUUUUGGUAUUUUUCAUUUAUAGAUCGGAAAGUAAAAGAUUGCAAAGUAGUAGAUCGGGAACUUAUAUGAUGGAAAAUAGACCCGCGGGCCAUAUGUUUCAAUAGAAGCUUCUCUCAAGAUAGCAAAUAAUAUGGUGGGUGAACAAAUUACUGCCGAGCAAUUGGUAGAAAAGCGCAAAGUUAUGAUGACAUCUAUAGCAAUGAUCAUGAAUAUAGGCAUCACGUCCGUGUCAAGUAGAUCGAAACGAUUCUGCAUCUACUACUAUUACUCCACACAUCGACCGACUCCUGCCUACAUCUAGAGUAUUAAGUUCAUGAAGAACAGAGUAACGAAUUAAGUAAGAUGACAUGAUGUAGAGGAAUUAACUCAAGCAAUAUGAUGAAAACCCCAUCUUUUUAUCCUCGAUGGCAACAAUACAAUACGUGCCUUGCUGCCCCUACUGUCACUGGAAAAUGACACCGCAAGAUUGAACCAAAAGCUAAGCAUUUCUUCCAUUGUAAGAAAAACCAAUCUAGUUGGCCAAACCAAACCGAAAAUUCGAAGAGAAUUACAAAGAUAUCAAAUCAUGCAAUUGAGAGGCCCAAAAGGAACAGAAUUUGUUUCAAAACAGAGAGUUAUGUUGUGACUGUCUGAUUCUAUCGGCAAUUGAGCUGUGACGAUGAAACAUGUUCUACGUAUUGAUUUGUGAUGAAACGAGUAAAAUAAAAGUACAUGGUUAAAAGUAAAGUUGAGAUCAAGGGGGGAGAAUGUUAGGUUGAUCUCCUCCCGUGUGGGCCCAACGGCCCACCGGGCCCUUAAAUUCGCGCCGUGAUCGGGGGCGCCCAACUCACAAUGGUUAACGGGCCCCUGUCACCUGCUCAAUAUAAAGAGGUAGGGGCCGGCGGCACGCAACACGAGGUUCGUCGCGCAGCCGCACACUCCACCAACACACCUAUCGAUCUAGGUUUCGCACAAUGCUGAUGGAAAGCGUCGCCACCACCUUGCCCACUCUGCCAUCACCGCCAUAGCCAUCUACCAUGGCCACCUCGGCGGGGAUCAUCAACUCAAAAUGAAGGUAAGACUACGGGAAGUCUCUAGCCUACUCCGCUCUAAAGUACUAUCAGUUUCAAGGUAGGAGGUGGUGACGAGGAACACAAAGACGUCACAUGCGUUUGUGAAUUUGUCACCAAACCGACAAGUUUCUUUCUGCGGGUAAAACUUGUACUCAAAUCACAGUGAAUACAAUCAAUGUAGUUGAGCCUAAUGGCUUUUUUUGAAUUUUUUCAAAAAAACUUCCGAUCUAUUCAUUAACCGUCAAGGUAAUACAAAAAAAUAGAAGUAAAAUUUACAUCCAAGUCCGUAGACCACCUAGCGACGACUACAAACACAGAUUCAAGCCAGUCGUAGUUCUGCCCUCUAAACAAGCGAAGUUUGACAGAGUUACUGACUUAAUUCUAAGAAAAUCUAGUUCGACAUAAGGCAACAAAAAUUGCAAAUUAUACAAUAGUAAUUCUGCCACUCCACCAUUUUCAAUUAUAUGCAGGCAAAAGGCGAAACAAAGGCACAAUUCAAUGCAAAAACCUGCAGACACAGCAGCACAGGUAUCGGCAAGAACGGCACAAAGUACGCACGAUAUCAAGGGCUCACUUAUUAUUGAUCCCUAAAAAAACAUGAGUAGUCUACGUGUAUCAUCACCCGCAAAAAAAAAAAUCUACGUGUAUCAUAUUCACUGCUACUCUACCCCCUAAAAGAUAACAUGAGCAAUCUGUCAGUAUCGCUUGCUUCUAUCAUAUUCACUGCCACAAGGUGCUUGAAUCCGGAGGACUACUAGACUAAAAUUCUUUAGUCAGGGUAUCCUACUAAAAUAUGAAUUAGUCCUUUUCUUAUUUAACUCCUCUCCUUUAACACUGACGAGUUCAUGCUCAUUAACUUGAUUUUAGUCUUUUUAGUAUUUGGAUCCAGCAUAAAUGAGGCUAGCAAGUUUUAGUCCCACUACUUUUAGUCAUGGGACUAAAAUGUAUCAAGCACCCUCUAAAUUGCCACCGGCAAGUCCGUAACAGUGAACACAAGAAGCUCCAAACCAGAACAAGCAAAAGCAAACACGAUGAUCGAAUUACACUAUUUGCUUCCUGCUAGACGACGAGAGCGGCAACCAAAAGACGGUGAUCGAACUACACUAUUUGCAUCGGUGACUAUACCCAGUGACUGCACAAGCUGCAAACUCCACCAUGCCGAAGGGCAAAGCCCCAUGGUCCAGCAGCUGCCUUGUCUGCAUGACUGCGUCAUCCGUGUGCCACAGAUGAACAUAAAUAAAACAGAACCACAGAUGAACAAAAAUAAAACAGAGCCAGAAAAGAUCAAAAGUAGGGAAGCACCAAAUUCAAACUUAAAAACGAGAAGCUCUAAGCUUCAAGGGUUCCAAACCAAAGCAAACAUCAUGAUCCAUCAUGUCCUUCAGACCAACGACUCCAUCGAACGACUACUACUACUUCCAGCUAGAUGACACAACGACAGACGACUGACACCACCGAGCGGCAUCCAAAGGACGGACACCGAGACAGCGAACCCAUCAAGUAGCGCGCAGACCGGAGACCACCACGGGCACGGACCAACAAAUUAGUCCACCUCCUCGAUCUUGGGGCCAGCGCCGCCGCCGCCGGCCGGCAUGUCCUCGUCCAUGCCCAUGCCGCCGCCCAUGUCCGGCGCGGCGCCCUGGUACAUCUUGGCGAUGAUGGGGUUGCAGAUGCCCUCCAGCUCCUUCAUCUUGUCCUCGAACUCGUCGGCCUCGGCGAGCUGGUUGGCGUCCAG
rnacentral:lncRNA from 1 species